GACGAACGCUGGCGGCGUGCUUAACACAUGCAAGUCGAACGGAGUGGCGAACGGGUGAGUAACACGUGGGUGACCUGCCCUGCACUUCGGGAUAAGCCUGGGAAACUGGGUCUAAUACCGGCUAGUGUGGGAUGGGCCCGCGGCCUAUCAGCUUGUUGGUGGGGUAAUGGCCUACCACGGCGGCGACGGGUAGCCGGCCUGAGAGGGUGGACGGCCACAAUGGGACUGAGGCACGGCCCAGACGCGUACGGGGGGCAGCAGGCGGGAGUAUUGCACAAUGGGCGGAAGCCUGAGGCAGCGACGUCGCGGGGGGGAUGACGGCCUUCGGGUUGUAAACUCCGUUAACCAUCGACGCGGUAGAUGGAGAAGAAGCACCGGCUAACUACGUGCCAGCCGCCGCGGUAAUUC
rnacentral:rRNA from 1 species